GAUGAACGCUAGCUACAGGCUUAACACAUGCAAGUCGCGGGGCAGCAUGGGGGUUGCUUGCAAUCCCCGAUGGCGACCGGCGCACGGGUGAGUAACGCGUAUUCAACCUGCCCUUCACCACGGGAUAACCCGGCGAAAGUCGGACUAAUACCGUAUGUUGUCCAUUGACGGCAUCCGAUUUGGACGAAAGGCUUGGCGGUGAGGGAUGGGGAUGCGUCCGAUUAGCCAGACGGCGGGGUAACGGCCCACCGUGGCUACGAUCGGUAGGGGUUCUGAGAGGAAGGUCCCCCACACUGGAACUGAGACACGGUCCAGACUCCUACGGGAGGCAGCAGUGAGGAAUAUUGGUCAAUGGGCGUAAGCCUGAACCAGCCAAGUAGCGUGCAGGAUGACGGCCCUACGGGUUGUAAACUGCUUUUAUGCGGGGAUAAAGUGGCCCACGUGUGGGCUUUUGCAGGUACCGCAUGAAUAAGGACCGGCUAAUUCCGUG
rnacentral:rRNA from 1 species